rnacentral:rRNA from 1 species
ACUCAAAUGAAUUGACGGGGGCCCGCACAAGCGGUGGAGCAUGUGGUUUAAUUCGAUGCAACGCGAAAAACCUUACCUGGUCUUGACAUCCACAAAAUUUUUUAGAAAUAAAAAAGUGCCUUCGGGAAUUGUGAGACAGGUGCUGCAUGGCUGUCGUCAGCUCGUGUUGUGAAAUGUUGGGUUAAGUCCCGCAACGAGCGCAACCCUUAUCCCCUGUUGCCAGCGGUUCGGCCGGGAACUCAGGGGAGACUGCCGGUUAUAAACCGGAGGAAGGUGGGGACGACGUCAAGUCAUCAUGGCCCUUACGACCAGGGCUACACACGUGCUACAAUGGUUUAUACAAAGAGAAGCAAAUCUGCAAAGACAAGCAAACCUCAUAAAGUAAAUCGUAGUCCGGACUGGAGUCUGCAACUCGACUCCACGAAGUCGGAAUCGCUAGUAAUCGUGGAUCAGAAUGCCACGGUGAAUACGUUCCCGGGCCUUGUACACACCGCCCGU